rnacentral:sRNA from 1 species
AGCUACAUCCCUCCCCUCCUUCAGCUCCUUCCGGAAGAUUCACUUCUGUGAAGCCUUCUCAGAACCGCCAUAGUACACCUCUGAGUGCGGGGCUGUAGUCGUAAAGACAAAGGCCGCCCCAUGAACAUUCAGCUUGUCACAUCACAGAUCGAUACACAGCGGAGACCUGCACAGAGCGUAAACAGAGGUGGCAUGACUAGAAACCGUGGCGCUGGAGGUUUUGGUGGUGGUGGAGGCACCCGGAGAGGCACCCG